rnacentral:rRNA from 1 species
AAAUGAAUAGACGGGGACCCGCACAAGCAGCGGAGCAUGUGGUUUAAUUCGAAGCAACGCGAAGAACCUUACCAAGGCUUGACAUCCUCUGACCGCCAUAGAAAUAUGGUUUCCCUUCGGGGCAGAGAGACAGGUGGUGCAUGGUUGUCGUCAGCUCGUGUCGUGAGAUGUUCGGUUAAGUCCGGCAACGAGCGCAACCCUUAUUAACAGUUGCCAAUAUUAAGUUAGGGACUCUGUUAAGACUGCCGUGGGUUAACACGGAGGAAGGUGGGGACGACGUCAAAUCAUCAUGCCCCUUAUGUCUUGGGCUACACACGUGCUACAAUGGGCGUUACAAAGAGCAGCGACCCCGCGAGGGCAAGCGAAUCUCAAAAAGGCGCCCCCAGUUCGGAUUGCGGGCUGCAACCCGCCCGCAUGAAGGAGGAGUUGCUAGUAAUCCCGAAUCAGCAUGUCGGGGUGAAUGCGUUCCCGGGUCUUGUACACACCGCCCGU